GAACGGGUGAGUAACACGUGGUGUGAUCUGCCCUGCACUUUGGGAUAAGCCUGGGAAACUGGGUCUAAUACCGAAUAUGACCACGCUCUUCAUGGGGUGUGGUGGAAAGCUUUUGCGGUGUGGGAUGGGCCCGCGGCCUAUCAGCUUGUUGGUGGGGUAAUGGCCUACCNNNNNNNCGACGGGUAGCCGGCCUGAGAGGGUGACCGGCCACACUGGGACUGAGAUACGGCCCAGACUCCUACGGGAGGCAGCAGUGGGGAAUAUUGCACAAUGGGCGCAAGCCUGAUGCAGCGACGCCGCGUGAGGGAUGACGGCCUUCGGGUUGUAAACCUCUUUCACCAGGGACGAAGCGCAAGUGACGGUACCUGGAGAAGAAGCACCGGCCAACUACGUGCCAGCAGCCGCGGUAAUACGUAGGGUGCGAGCGUUGUCCGGAAUUACUGGGCGUAAAGAGCUCGUAGGUGGUUUGUCGCGUUGUUCGUGAAAACUCACAGCUUAACUGUGGGCGUGCGGGCGAUACGGGCAGACUAGAGUACUGCAGGGGAGACUGGAAUUCCUGGUGUAGCGGUGGAAUGCGCAGAUAUCAGGAGGAACACCGGUGGCGAAGGCGGGUCUCUGGGCAGUAACUGACGCUGAGGAGCGAAAGCGUGGGGAGCGAACAGGAUUAGAUACCCUGGUAGUCCACGCCGUANACGGUGGGUACUAGGUGUGGGUUCCUUCCUUGGGAUCCGUGCCGUA
rnacentral:rRNA from 1 species